CGUGCCUAAUACAUGCAAGUUGAACGCAACAAAGACACCAGAGCUUGCUCUACCGUCUUUGUUGAGUAGCGAACGGGUGAGUAACGCGUGGGUAACCUGCCUUAUAGCGGGGGAUAACUAUUGGAAACGAUAGCUAAUACCGCAUAACAAUAGAGAUUGCAUAAUCUUUAUUUGAAAGUGCCAACUGGUACACUAUGAGAUGGACCCGCGUUGUAUUAGCUAGUUGGUAGUGUAAUGGACUACCAAGGCGAUGAUACAUAGCCGACCUGAGAGGGUGAUCGGCCACAUUGGGACUGAGACACGGCCCAAACUCCUACGGGAGGCAGCAGUAGGGAAUCUUCGGCAAUGGACGAAAGUCUGACCGAGCAACGCCGCGUGAGUGAAGAAGGUUUUCGGAUCGUAAAACUCUGUUGUUAGAGAAGAAUGUUGAUUAGAGUGGAAAAUUAAUCAAGUGACGGUAUCUAACCAGAAAGGGACGGCUAACUACGUG
rnacentral:rRNA from 1 species